rnacentral:rRNA from 1 species
CUGAUCGCUGGUCUUCUGGGAAGCUUUCGCGGUAUGGGAUGGGGUCGCGUCCUAUCAGCUUGACGGCGGGGUAACGGCCCACCGUGGCUUCGACGGGUAGCCGGCCUGAGAGGGCGACCGGCCACAUUGGGACUGAGAUACGGCCCAGACUCCUACGGGAGGCAGCAGUGGGGAAUAUUGCACAAUGGGCGCAAGCCUGAUGCAGCGACGCCGCGUGAGGGAUGGAGGCCUUCGGGUUGUAAACCUCUUUUAUCGGGGAGCAAGCGAGAGUGAGUUUACCCGUUGAAUAAGCACCGGCUAACUACGUGCCAGCAGCCGCGGUAAUACGUAGGGUGCAAGCGUUAUCCGGAAUUAUUGGGCGUAAAGGGCUCGUAGGCGGUUCGUCGCGUCCGGUGUGAAAGUCCAUCGCUUAACGGUGGAUCCGCGCCGGGUACGGGCGGGCUUGAGUGCGGUAGGGGAGACUGGAAUUCCCGGUGUAACGGUGGAAUGUGUAGAUAU